rnacentral:lncRNA from 1 species
GUCCACACCCAGGAGCCAAAUGGCCAACCCCGGGCCACCGAACCAGAGCUCGCAAACCCAGCCGCUGUGCCACCAGACUUAUCCUUUGACGAUAAACUGACAUGACUCAGCAACCGACACUUUGUUUGACACACCAGAGGAAAGACGAUGGGCACCCUGAGGACUGGUUCAACAGUGAAGGCCUCUGAGGAAGGCUGAGGACUUGACCAAGCAGAUGGAAAAGUUGUGUUGACUAUGGAAGGCAUAGAAAAGGAGGUACACAUGGACAAACAUUACACCAGAUGAUCUCAUCCAUUCCCAGAACUCUAAUUACCGUCUAUAUGCUAAUGAUCAUCAAAUUUAUAUCAGCAACCCACUUCUCUCCCAUGAGUUCAAACUGGAACACCCAACUGCCUAAUUUACAUCUACUUUGACUGUCUUACAG